rnacentral:lncRNA from 1 species
UUACAGGUUCAACAAAAGCACACGAAAUUACAGCGUAUCUGAAACACAUACCAAUGAAAUUUCUCAUAAUGUAAAUAACAAUAAAGGUGACAAUAAUAAUGAAGAGAAAAAUGUAAGUGACAGGUGGAAACAUCUGAAACCUGAGGGUUUUCAUUAUUUUAAAAAUAAUAGAUCAAAUGAAAACAAUAAUAUUUUCUCUAAUAUUAAAAGGGAACAUUCAGCUUAUGAAGGGAAUUGGAGAAACAGAAAAAAUAUGAAUUUUUUCAAAUUUUAGGAAUAACAAUUUGAACAACAAUGAAACGAAUAACUAUAUGGGAAGUACAGGUAGUACUGGUAAUAUGGAUAACAUGAAUAAUUCUAUGUUUAACAUGAAUCAAAGUUUUAAAAACAGUUUUAAUAGGAAUUACAAUAGAAAUAAUUUUUUUACAAAGAAUAUUAACCAAGAUGCUACAAAUAACAAUUUAAUAAAUGAAAAUUUUAAUAAUAAUAAUAUGAUAGGAAUUAACAAUACGAAUAAUGCAUUUGCAAGUAUGAAUUAUGCUAAUAAACAGAAAAAUAACGAAUUUGGUUUUAGCAAUCAAAAUAAUACAUUUCAAAACAACUACAACAAUAACAAUAGAGCAUUUUCGCAACUUAUGAACAAAAAUAAUAGGUACAAUAAAACAGCUAAUCAAACGAAUGGAAAUAGUUUUAACACGUUAAACAAUAAUACUAACUUUAAUGAAAAUAAAAAAAUAAUUACAACAUUAAUUUUUACAAUAAUAAUAAUAGUAAUGUGAAUAGAGGUAAUAGUAGUAAUAAUAAUUAUAGAAACAAAUGGAAUCAAAUAAAUGUUUUUAAUAAAAAUCAAAAUGUAAAUGAGAAUGUGAACAAUAACUUGUUUGGUAUGGAUGCAAACGUAAGUGCAAAUAUUAGUACCAAUGUUAGUACCAAUGUAAAUGCAAAUUAUAACACUAUUAAUCAAAUGAGUGAUCAUCCCUAUGGUGCGCCAAUAAAUACUUGUGUCGUACCCCCACCUCCUCCACCUCCACCUCCUCCUUCUGUUACCUCUCCUUCGUUUUCUACGAUUAAUACCACCACUAAUACUACCACUAAUAUUACCACUAAUACUACCACUACUACUACCACUAAUAUAACUAACACAAUGUAUAACACGCAUAAUACCACACAAUUGACUGAUAAUAUGAGUAGUGCACAUAAUUUGAAUAUUGUUAAUAAUAGCAGUAGUAACAAUAGCAGUAAUAACAAUAGCAGUAAUAACAAUAGCAGUAAUAACAAUAUCAGUAAUAACAAUAGUAGUAGUAACAAUAAUGAUAACACUGCUGAGAAUAUUAAUAAAGUGAAUAAUUCCAUAAAUCAGAAUGAAGAUGAAGAAAAAGACGAUAGCGAAAACAAUGACGAAUGGGGAGAAUUAGGUGAAGAUAAAUACAUUGACAUAACUUCUAUUAUUAAAAAAAAGAUGUAAUUUUAAAUCAGUUAGGGGCUAACUUAGAUAGUGACAACAAAAAAGAAACAACAGAUAAUAAAAAUAAAAAAAAUCGAAAUCGAAAAAUGAAA